AUUGGGCCCCAAUGGGCCCUCGCACGUGUCACAGCUCGGCACUAGCGGGCCAAAGCAUUUCACAAUCCCCCACACAAAUCUUGGCACCCAUUCCUCCCUCUCUGACCGUAGGAUUAGGCUUGGAGCAGAUGGACGAUCGUCGCUGUGCGAUCCUAGUGGGCUUGAUCCAACCGUCCACUCUUACCCCCGAGUCCGCCUG
rnacentral:lncRNA from 1 species